AGUAACACGUGAGUGACCUGCCUUUUAGACUGGAACAACUUACCGAAAGGUGAGCUAAUGCCGGAUGAGUUAUAUAAGUGCAUGUUUAUAUAGGAAAAGUUGGGGAGACCUGACGCUGAAAGAUGGACUCGCGUCCCAUUAGCUAGUUGGUGGGGUAAAGGCUCACCAAGGCGACGAUCAGUAGCCGGCCUGAGAGGGCGACCGGCCACAUUGGGACUGAGGCACGGCCCAGACUCCUACGGAAGGCAGCAG
rnacentral:rRNA from 1 species